rnacentral:rRNA from 1 species
UACGGGGGGGGUAAGCGUUGUUCGGAAUUACUGGGCGUAAAGGGCUCGUAGGCGGCCAACUAAGUCGGACGUGAAAUCCCCAGGCUCAACCUGGGAACUGCGUCCGAUACUGGAUGGCUUGAAUCCGGGAGAGGGAUGCAGAAUUCCAGGUGUAGCGGUGAAAUGCGUAGAUAUCUGGAGGAAUACCGGUGGCGAAGGCGGCAUCCUGGACCGGCAUUGACGCUGAGGAGCGAAAGCCGGGGGAGCAAACGGG